CUGGACGUAGGGCAGUUUGGUUGACCCACUCGGUUCGGGGCCGAGAUCACGCUGGUUCAAAUCCAGUCGUCCAGACCA
rnacentral:tRNA from 1 species